GGUUGAGAUAUUGGAAUGGUUGAGAUAUUGGAAUGGUUGAGAUAUUGGAAUGGUUGAGGUAUUAGAAUGGUUGAGAUAUUGGAAUGGUUGAGGUAUUAGAAUGGUUGAGAUAUUGGAAUGGUUGAGGUAUUAGAAUGGUUGAGGUAUUGGAAUGGUUGAGGUAUUAGAAUGGUUGAGGUAAUGGAAUGGUUGAGGUAUUGGAAUGGUUGAGGUAUUGGAAUGGUUGAGGUAUUAGAAUGGUUGAGGUAAUGGAAUGGUGGAGGUAAUGGAAUGGUUGAGGUAUUGGAAUGGUUGAGGUAUUAGAAUGGUUGAGGUAUUAGAAUGGUUGAGGUAUUAGAAUGGUUGAGAUAAAGGAAUGGUUGAGAUAUUGGAAUGGUUGAGGUAUUAGAAUGGUUGAGGUAUUAGAAUGGUUGAGGUAUUAGAAUGGUUGAGGUAUUGGAUAUUAGAAUGGUUGAGGUAUUAGAAUGGUUGAGGUAUUAGAAUGGUUGAGGUAUUGGAUAUUGGAAUGGUUGAGAUAUUAGAAUGGUUGAGAUAAUGGAAUGGUUGAGAUAUUGGAAUGGUUGAGGUAUUAGAAUGGUUGAGAUAAAGGAAUGGUUGAGGUAUUAGAAUGGUUGAGAUAAAGGAAUGGUUGAGAUAAUGGAAUGGUGGAGGUAAUGGAAUGGUUGAGGUAUUAGAAUGGUUGAGGUAUUGGAAUGGUUGAGGUAAUGGAAUGGUUGAGGUAUUAGAAUGGUUGAGGUAUUGGAAUGGUGGAGGUAAUGGAAUGGUUGAGGUAUUGGAAUGGUUGAGGUAUUAGAAUGGUUGAGGUAUUAGAAUGGUUGAGGUAUUAGAAUGGUUGAGAUAAAGGAAUGGUUGAGAUAAUGGAAUGGUUGAGAUAUUGGAAUGGUUGAGGUAUUAGAAUGGUUGAGAUAAAGGAAUGGUUGAGAUAAUGGAAUGGUUGAGAUAUUGGAAUGGUUGAGGUAUUAGAAUGGUUGAGAUAAAGGAAUGGUUGAGAUAAUGGAAU
rnacentral:lncRNA from 1 species